AAUAGAUACCCGGGUAGUCCACGCCGUAAACGAUGAGUGCUAAGUGUUAGGGGGUUUCCGCCCCUUAGUGCUGCAGCUAACGCAUUAAGCACUCCGCCUGGGGAGUACGGUCGCAAGACUGAAACUCAAAGGAAUUGACGGGGGCCCGCACAAGCGGUGGAGCAUGUGGUUUAAUUCGAAGCAACGCGAAGAACCUUACCAGGUCUUGACAUCCCAUUGACCACUAUGGAGACAUAGUUUUCCCUUCGGGGACAACGGUGACAGGUGGUGCAUGGUUGUCGUCAGCUCGUGUCGUGAGAUGUUGGGUUAAGUCCCGCAACGAGCGCAACCCUUGUUCUUAGUUGCCAUCAUUUAGUUGGGCACUCUAAGGAGACUGCCGGUGACAAACCGGAGGAAGUGGGGAUGACGUCAAAUCAUCAUGCCCCUUAUGACCUGGGCUACACACGUGCUACAAUGGACGGUACAAACGGUUGCCAACCGCGAGGGGGAGCUAAUCCGAUAAAACCGUUCUCAGUUCGGAUUGUAGGCUGCAACUCGCCUACAUGAAGCC
rnacentral:rRNA from 1 species